rfam:Pseudoxanthomonas spadix BD-a59, complete genome.
ACCUACCCCCCAUGUCCGCCGGCCUCGCCGGCAACAUGCCCAGGCAGCCUCGACCUUCAAGGCUGCGGUGCAUCUAACCGCACUGGUCUCGAUCUUUCCGAGCGCGUUUCGCGUCCGUCUAGUCCCUCUCGC